rnacentral:snoRNA from 1 species
CCUGCCUCUCAAAGAGUUGCAGGAGUGGCCCCUUGUGUUACAUGUAUAUCAGUAGGGAGCAGAGAGGAGAGAGGCUAUGUCUACACUCAAAGGUCAGACCUAGGAACAUCUCAAUGAUUAAUAGCCUAAUAUU